AUUGAACGCUGGCGGCAGGCCUAACACACGCAAGUCGAGCGGUUGACGGGAGCUUGCUCCUUGAUUCAGCGGCGGACGGGUGAGUAAUGCCUAGGAAUCUGCCUGGUAGUGGGGGACAACGUUUCGAAAGGAACGCUAAUACCGCAUACGUCCUACGGGAGAAAGCAGGGGACCUUCGGGCCUUGCGCUAUCAGAUGAGCCUAGGUCGGAUUAGCUUGUUGGUGAGGUAAUGGCUCACCAAGGCGACGAUCCGUAACUGGUCUGAGAGGAUGAUCAGUCACACUGGAACUGAAACACGGUCCAGACUCCUACGGGAGGCAGCAGUGGGGAAUAUUGGACAAUGGGCGAAAGCCUGAUCCAGCCAUGCCGCGUGUGUGAAGAAGGUCUUCGGAUUGUAAAGCACUUUAAGUUGGGAGGAAGGGUUGUAGAUUAAUACUCUGCAAUUUUGACGUUACCGACAGAAUAAGCACCGGCUAACUCUGUGCCAGCCGCCGCCGUAA
rnacentral:rRNA from 1 species